GUGUCUGUCAGCCAGUUUCCCAGCCCCUGGUGCACUGAAGCUCAGGCCUUUCCUGGCAUCCUGGCCUCCUGCACUGAGCUGUGUGAGUGCUUCUGCCCAGGCAGGCCACUUGGCAUUGACCGGUAUAGAUGGUGACCCUGAAGAAAGACUUCAGUUGGGCCUGAAGGCCCCGGGCCAGUGUCCAUCAUCCAGGUGCUCAGCUCCCAGUGCACUGAAGCUCAGACCCUUCCUGGUUCCCUGGUCUCUUGCACUGAGCUCUGAUGGUGAGACUUGAGGAAGACUUCCACUGGGCCUGCUUUUCCUGAGCCAGUGCCCAUCACCCAGGUGCUCAGUCCCUGGUGCACUGAAGCUCCAGCCCUUCCUGGCGCCCUGGUCUCCUGAACUGAGCUGUGUGAGCUCUUCUGCCAAGCGGUUCCCCUGGCAUUGACCAACAUAGAUGGUGAGCCUGGAGGAAGACUUGCGUUGGGCCCAAAGGCCCUAGACCAGUGUCUGUCAGCCAGGUUCCCAACCCCCGAUGCGCUGAAGCUCAAGCCUUUCCUGGCACCCUGGUCUCCUGCACUGAGCUGUGUGAGCUCUUCUGCCCAGGCGGGCCCCCUGGAAUUGAUGGGUAUAGAUGGUGACCCCGGAGGAAAAUUUGUGUUGGGCCCACUAUCCCUGGGCCAAUGUCAGUCAGCUAGGCACCCAGCCCCCAGUGCGCUGAAGCUCAGGACCUUCCUAGUGCCCUCGGCUCCUGCACUGAGCUCUGAUGGUAAGCCUGGAGGAAGACUUGUGUUGGGCCCACAGGCCCCAGGCCAAUGUCUGUCAGCCAGGUGCUCAGCCUCUGGUGCGCUGAAACUCUGACCCUUCCUGGCACACUGGUCUCCUGCACUGAGCUGGGAUUUUCCACCUAGGAGGUCCACCUGGCAUUGACUGACAUAGAUGGUGAGACUUCUGUCGGCCUCGCUUUUCCUGGGCCAGUGUCCAUCAGCCAGGUGCUCAGCCCCAGUGCACUGAAGCUCCAGCCCUUCCUGGCGCCCUGGACUGAGCUGUGUGAGCUCUUCUGCCAAGGGGGUCCUCCUGGCAUUGACCAACAUAGGUGGUGAGCCUGGAGGAAGACUUGCAUUGGGCCCAAUGGCCCUGGACCAGUGUCUGUCAGCCAGGUUCCCAGCCCCCGAUGCGCUGAAGCUCAAGCCUUUCCUGGCACCCUGGUCUCCUGCACUGAGCUGUGUGAGCUCUUCGGCCCAAGUGGUCCCCCCGGCCUUAAGCGGCAUAGAUGGUGAGCCUGGAGGAAGACUCGUGUUGGGCCCACAGGCCCCAGGCCAGUGUACGUCAGCCAGGUGCUCAGCCCAUGGUGUGCUGAAGCUCUGACCCUUCCUGACUCCGUGGUCUCCUGCACUGAGCUGUGAUGACCAUAUCCAGUGAGCUCUUCCAAACAGGUGGGCUCCCUAGCAUUGACCGACAGAGUGAGCUCUGCCACCCAGGACAUCCCCCUGGCAUUGACUGGCAUAGAUGCUGACCCUGGAGGAAGACUUGUGUCGGGCCCCCAGGCCCCAGGCCAGUGUCCAUCAGCCAGGUGCUCAGCUCCCAGUGCGCUGAAGCUCAGACCCUUCCUGGCACCCUGGUGUCCAGCACUGAGCUGUGUGAGCUUUUCCACCCAGGUGGGCCCCCUGGCAUUGACCGACAUAGAUGAUGAGACUGGAGGAAGACUUCCAUUGGGCCCACUUUUCCUGGGCCAGUGUCCAUCAGCCAGGUGCUCAGCCCCUGGUGUACUGAAGCUCCAGCCUUUCCUGGUGCCCCAGUCUUCUGCACUAAGCUGUGUGAGCUCUUCCACCCAGGAGGGCCCCUUGGCAUUGACUGGCAUAGAUGGUGAGACGGGAGGAAGACUUGUGUUGGGCCUGCUGUUCCUGGGCCAGUGGCCAUCAGCCUGUUGCCCAGCCCCUGAGGCGCUGAAGCUCAGGCCCUUCCUCACACCCUGGUCUCCUGCACUAGCUGUGUGAGCUCUUCUGCCCAGGUGGGGCCCAUGGCCUUACACGACAUAGGAGCACGCAUUUCUUGAAGUCCUGCAAAGGUGAUGGUGGUCCAGACAGGAGAGGGUUCCUUCAGCCCAACAUAGCGCAGCUCCCAGCUGAAACUCGGAAGGCUGGUCAGGCCUCGAGGACUGCCCAGGCCACAUGAGGGUUUGGUGGCCGGGAGGGCCAAUGAUGCUCUGCGUCUGUGUUGGAUCAGUGUUCUUCAUGGAUUCCAUCACAUGGUGAGCCUUGAGGAAGACUUGUAUUGGGCCCCCACAGGCCCCAGGCCAGUGUCCGUCAGCCUGGUGCUCACCCCCAGUGUGCUGAAGCUCAGACCCUCCGUGGCACCCUGGUCUCCUGCACUGAGCUGUGUGAACUUUUCCUCCCAGAUGGGCCCCCUGGCAUUGACUGGCAUAGAUGGUGAGACCGGAGGAAGACUUGCAUUGGGCCUGUUGUUCCUGGGCCAGUGGCCAUCAGCCUGUUGCCCAGCCCCUGAUGCGCUGAAGCUCGGGCCCUUCCUCGCGCCCUGGUCUCCUGCACUGAGCUGUGUGAGCUCUUCUGCCCAGGUGAGGCCCAUGGCCUUAAGCGGCAUAGAUGGUGAGCCUGGAGGAAGACUUGUAUUGGGACCCUACAGGCCCCAGGCCAGUGUCUGUCAGCCUGGUGCUCAUCCCCCAGUGCGCUGAAGCUCAGACCCUCCCUGGCACCCUGGUCUCCUGCACUGAGCUGUGAUGGUGAGUCUGGAGGAAGACUUGUGUUGGACCCCCACAGGCCCCAGGCCAGUGUCCAUCAGCCUGGUGCUAAUCCCCCAGUGCUCUGGAGUUUGGACCCUCCCUGGCACCCUGGUCUCCUGCACUGAGCUGUGUGAGCUCUUCCACCCGGGCGGGCCCCCGGCAUUGACUGGCAUAGGUGGUGAGCCCGGAGGAGGACUUGCGUUCGGCCCGCUGGUCCCAGUGUGUCCGGAAUUGGUGGGUUCUUGGUCUCACUGACUUCAAGAAUGAAGCUGCGGACCCUCGCUAUGAUGAUAUGGAAGAAAAGCACUCUUUGGCCUGUUGUGACUGGGACAGUUGACAGCACCCAGGUGUCCUUUAAUGAAAAUGCUCUUGACACCAAUGCAUCCUAGCAUCACAGCUUCAGGAAGCCUUCUCAAGUGUGCAUGGGGAGUACUAUGUCUUUCAUCAAUAAUGAAAUCUUCUGAUUUGUAAGACAUGCUGCCAAGAGAUGUGCCAUUCUAUUAUAAAAGAUCAGUAGCUUCCUUUACCGACGUGUAUAUUCUAUCUAGAACAUUGAGCUAUGGAAGACUCCCACCUAAGGGAAUUAGUUUUACACCUUCAGAUAAAGACUGCUGAGAAGAGCACCCUCUGGUGUUGUCACAGAGGCAAGUGCUACCGCACAGGCAUGCUGCAGUGAAUUUAACUGAUCCUCUGUCCCUGCAACCGUUGUUUAAGGAUGCUAUUCUGAAAAGACUGUGGAGGAAGAAAACCCUUUACCCUGUUGUUCAGGGAGAAACUGACACCACUCAACUGCCUGGCACUGAAAAUGUGGCAUCCAGUCCACUUUACCAUCAGUGUUUAAGGAAACCAUCUCUGAUAAGGAUGACUGAGGAAGAGUACUCUUUGGCUUGUUGACACCAGCACAGCUGACACACCCAGAUAUCUGUUUGGUCUCCUGUGAACUUUCAACCAGGAUUUAAGGAUGCCACUCUGGUUAAAAGCUGAAACAACUUCAAGGAAACUUCAGGGAAAAGAGAAGGCCUGGAAUCUGAUCCUCCACUUCAGAGAACAGGGAGAAAAAAGUGCAUGUGAAAUACUACUACUUAUCCAUCUCCUGGCUCUGAGCAGUACAUGUCAGGAACAAGAGGGAAUUGUAGCUGGAAGACAGUAGAAGAGCCAUAGGACAAGUCUCUAAGAGAAGGAAGAAAAGGCGCAAUGAAAGAAAACAAGUUUAAGAUAGUAGAAAAGCAUUCAAAGACGGCAACCUGAGGUGGUGGAGUCUAUGGCCCUUCUCCUUGAAUCUGAGUGAAAUUAGUGAGUCUUUCAAUCCAAAGACUACAGUCAUACCUCAACUAUCUACAGAGGACUGGUUCCAGGACUCCCAUGGAUCCCAAAAUCCAAGGAUGCUUCGAAUCCCUUAUAUAAAAUGGCAUGGUAUUUGCAUAUAACCUACAUGCAUCUUCAAAUAUGUUAAACCAUCUCUAGAUUACUUAUAAUACCAAAUACAAUGUAAUGCUAUGUAAACAGUUGUUACAAUGUAUUGUCAAAGACAAGCUCUCCUUGCCAAUCCCUGACCAAAUGAGAGAUUCAUGAGCAAAAUAAAUAGUUGCUGAUAUUUAAGGCACUAAGUUUGGGGCAAUGUAUUACACAGCAAUAAAUAACUGGAACAGCAUAGUAAAUUCUAGUUAAAAAUACUAAACUACUAAGUUUUAGUUAACAUACAUGCUCAAGUUAAGGGUGUGGUAUACUAACAACUGCAACUUACUUUGAAAAGCAUAAAAAAAG
rnacentral:lncRNA from 1 species